GAGUUUGAUCCUGGCUCAAUUGAACGCUGGCGGCGUGCUUAACACAUGCAAGUCGUACGAGAAAGUUUCAGCUUGCUGAAGCGAGUAAAGUGGCGCACGGGUGAGUAACGCGUGGGUAAUCUGCCCCUGGGUUCGGGAUAACCCGCCGAAAGGCGAGCUAAUACCGGAUAACAUCUUUGACACCUCGGUGUUAAAGAUCAAAGGUAGCCUCUACAUGUAAGCUUCUGCCGAGGGAUGAGCCCGCGUACCAUUAGUUUGUUGGUGAGGUAACGGCUCACCAAAACUUUGAUGGUUAGCUGGUCUGAAAGGAUGAUCAGCCACACUGGAACUGAGACACGGUCCAGACUCCUACGGGAGGCAGCAGUGAGGAAUUUUGCGCAAUGGGGGAAACCCUGACGCAGCAACGCCGCGUGAGUGAUGAAGGCCCUUGGGUCGUAAAGCUCUGUCAAGUGGAAAGAAAAUAUGUACUAUAAAUAGUAGUGCGUAUUGACGGUACCGCUAAAGGAAGCACCGGCUAUCUCCGUGCCAGCAGCCGCGGUAAUACGGGGGGUGCAAGCGUUAUUCGGAUUUAUUGGGCGUAAAGGGCGCGCAGGCGGCUUGGUAAGUCAGAUGUGAAAGCCCGGGGCUCAACCCGGGAAGUACAUUUGAAACUGUCUUGCUUGAGUAUGGGAGAGGGAAGUGGAAUUCCUGGUGUAGGGGUGAAAUGCGUAGAUAUUAGGAGGAACACCGGUGGCGAAGGCGGCUUCCUGUACCAAUACUGACGCUGAGGCGCGAAUGCGUGGGUAGCAGACAAGAUUAGAUAGCCUGCUAGUC
rnacentral:rRNA from 1 species